AUAUUACAGAUUACCCCGUGUGCCAAGUUUGUACCUGAUCAUAUUAUUCUGCGGCGUGCGUGUUUGUAAGCAAAACAGGAAACUGGGAGAGAGGGAGCUGGCAUGACGCUGUGGCAUGGAUAUUCUUUAAGGCUUUAUUAGAGGCAUUAACCUCGGCUCUUGACAUGUAACCUGUUAAUUGUAAAGAGGUUUCGGAAAGGUGCCGAGUCAAAAGUAUGGAUUUCUUAGAACAAACAUUGCUUUUUCUCUCUUUCUUUCUUCAGUGUAACAUACUGCACAUGCCUCGGCUCCAAACAACAACAGCUCUUAUCGGAGUGCCGAGGAUUUUCGAUGCAGAAAGAAUGGAUGUCAAGAAAUAGUAUUUAAGUCAGCAGCCUGUGCUUUCGUCUCAUAUCCUUCUCUGCUGUCUUAAAUAUUGAAUCGCAUCUUGCAAAUUGCUGCCGUGCUAAUUCUAGCUAGUGCACCUUUUGCCAUUCCGAUUGCCUAUCAUUUCCAGGAGUUAUAGCAAUUGUUUUAUGUAUUGUAUUUUUUUCCAUUUGCAAUGCUGAAUGAUGAAUCUUAGCUUCCCUGCUGGGUAGAUAUCCUCAACAGCUAAGAGCCCUUUUCUUGGAUGCAGAGAUUUCUGUAUCCAUGUGGCCAUAGUUUAAUCUCAUCCAAUUAAAAUAAGAGCCCAAAUGCGAGUGUUGCUUUCCAUAAUACUUCUUGCAGUAUAUAUUACAUAGUGUUCUGUGGAUGAGAUAUGAAAUUCUUCAUGCAGUCCUAUCUGUCAGAAAUUAUAGCUUAUUGUUUGACUUAUUUGGUUUAUGCAUUGCAAUCAAAUUGAUUUGACCAGGACAGAAAACAGACUGAACUGUUAGCUUCCUCUGAUUGUGUUUACAGAAUGAAAUGGAAAUAAAAUGAUUGCAGUAAAACAUUGCAGAAUCUUGUCCUCUAUUCUGGAUUCCAAUCCUGUCUUCCAUUCCAUUCCUCAUCCCCAU
rnacentral:lncRNA from 1 species